ACAUUUUCCACUUUGCUUCUUCUCUAAUCCAAUUUCUUUUGUAGAUCACACUCUGCGAAUCACCUCUGAUCGAUCAUGUCAGGUUCACCGUCCUCAUCGUCGGCAUCCGAAGAUGAAGAUGAAGGAAUCGAUUCGUACAGAAAAGGAGGAUAUCAUGCCGUCAGAAUCGGUGAUUCAUUUUCCGGUGGACGAUAUAUCGCUCAGAGAAAACUUGGCUGGGGAGAAUUCUCUACCGUUUGGCUCGCUUAUGAUACUCGAUCAUCCGAAUUUGUAGCUUUGAAGAUCCAGAAAAGUGCACCACAAUUUGCUCAAGCUGCUCUUCACGAAAUUGAAGUCCUUUCUGCUAUUGCCGACGGUGAUACCCA
rnacentral:misc_RNA from 1 species